AGAGUUUGAUCCUGGCUCAGGACGAACGCUUGCGACGUGCCUAGGAAAUGCCAGUCGAACGGGGGGGCAAUCCCUAGUGGCGAACGGUCGCGUAACACGUGGGCAACCUGCCCUGAAGCGGGGGACAACAGCUUGAAAGAGCUGCUAAUACCGCAUGUGUAUCCUGUGUGGCAUCACGGGGGAUACAAAGCCUUCGGGCACUUCAGGAUGGGCCCGCGUCCUAUCAGCUAGUUGGUGAGGUAACGGCUUACCAAGGCUUCGACGGGUAGCUGGUCUGAGAGGACGAUCAGCCGGAUUGGGACUGAGAUACGGCCCAGACUCCUACGGGGGGCAGCAAUUAGGAAUCUUGCACAAUGGGGGAAACCCCGAUGCAGCGACGUCGCGUGAAGGAUGAAAUCUUUCGGGAUGUAAACUUCUUUUUCUGGGGAAGAAACAAAUGACGGUACCCAGAGAAUAAGCCCCGGCUAACUACGUGCCAGCAGCCGCGGUAAUACGUAGGGGGCGAGCGUUGUCCGAAGUUACUGGGCGUAAAGAGCGCGUAGGCGGGUUUUUAAGUGAGGGGUGAAAGUCCGAGGCUCAGCCUCGGAACUGCCUUUCAUACUGGGAGCCUUGAGUGCGGGAGAGGCGAGUGGAAUGGUCGGUGUAGCGGUGAAAUGCGUAGAUAUCGAUCGGAACACCCAUGGCGAAGGCAGCUCGCUGGCCUGUAACUGACGCUGAGGCGCGAAAGCGUGGGGAGCAAACAGGAUUAGAUACCCUGGUAGUCC
rnacentral:rRNA from 1 species